AACGGCCAUACCAUGCUGAAUAUACCGGUUCUCGUUAGAUCACCGAAGUCAAGCAUCAUUGGGCGCGGUCAGUACUUGGGUGGGUGACCACCUGGGAACACCUCGUGCCGUU
rnacentral:rRNA from 1 species